rnacentral:rRNA from 1 species
UGGGGAAUAUUGGACAAUGGGCGCAAGCCUGAUCCAGCCAUGCCGCGUGAGUGAUGAAGGCCCUAGGGUUGUAAAGCUCUUUCACCGGUGAAGAUAAUGACGGUAACCGGAGAAGAAGCCCCGGCUAACUUCGUGCCAGCAGCCGCGGUAAUACGUAGGUCCCGAGCGUUGUCCGGAUUUAUUGGGCGUAAAGCGAGCGCAGGCGGUAGAAAAGUCUGAAGUGAAAGGCAGUGGCUCAACCAUUGUAGGCUUUGGAAACUGUUUAACUUGAGUGCAGAAGGGGAGAGUGGAAUUCCAUGUGUAGCGGUGAAAUGCGUAUAUAUAUGGAGGAACACCGGUGGCGAAAGCGGCUCUCUGGUCUGUAACUGAAGCUGAGGCUCGAAAGCGUGGGGAGCGAACAGG